UACAGAGGGUGCGAACGUUGCUCGGAAUUACUGGGCGUAAAGCGCAUGUAGGCGGAUCCAUAAGUCGGGGCGUGAAAUCCCCAGGCUCAACCUGGGAACUGCAUCCGAUACUGGAUGGCUUGAAUCCGGGAGAGGGAUGCAGAAUUCCAGGUGUAGCGGUGAAAUGCGUAGAUAUCUGGAGGAAUACCGGUGGCGAAGGCGGCAUCCUGGACCGGCAUUGACGCUGAGGAGCGAAAGCUAGGGGAGCAAACGGG
rnacentral:rRNA from 1 species